CAGAGGUCCCGAGCGUUGUUCGGAUUCACUGGGCGUAAAGGGUGCGUAGGUGGUGAGGUAAGUCGGAUGUGAAAUCUCCGGGCUUAACCCGGAAAUGGCAUUGGAAACUACCUUGCUAGAGGAUUUGAGGGGGGAUUGGAAUACUUGGUGUAGCAGUGAAAUGCGUAGAUAUCAAGUGGAACACCAGUGGCGAAGGCGAAUCCCUGGAAAAUACCUGACACUGAGGCACGAAAGCUAGGGGAGCAAACAGGAUUAGAUACCCUGGUAGUCCUAGCCCUAAACGGUGCUUGCUUGCUGUAAGAGGAAUCGACCCCUCUUGUGGCGGAGCUAACGCGUUAAGCAAGCCGCCUGGGAAGUACGGUCGCAAGAUUA
rnacentral:rRNA from 1 species